UGGGGAAUUUUGGACAAUGGGCGAAAGCCUGAUCCAGCAAUGCCGCGUGUGUGAAGAAGGCCUUCGGGUUGUAAAGCACUUUUGUCCGGAAAGAAAUCCUUGGCUCUAAUACAGCCGGGGGAUGACGGUACCGGAAGAAUAAGCACCGGCUAACUACGUGCCAGCAGCCGCGGUAAUACGUAGGGUGCAAGCGUUAAUCGGAAUUACUGGGCGUAAAGCGUGCGCAGGCGGUUUGCUAAGACCGAUGUGAAAUCCCCGGGCUCAACCUGGGAACUGCAUUGGUGACUGGCAGGCUAGAGUAUGGCAGAGGGGGGUAGAAUUCCACGUGUAGCAGUGAAAUGCGUAGAGAUGUGGAGGAAUACCGAUGGCGAAGGCAGCCCCCUGGGCCAAAUACUGACGCUCAUGCACGAAAGCGUGGGGAGCAAACAGGAUUAGAUACCCUGGUAGUCCACGCCCUAAACGAUGUCAACUAGUUGUUGGGGAUUCAUUUCCUUAGUAACGUAGCUAACGCGUGAAGUUGACCGCCUGGGGAGUACGGUCGCAAGAUUAAAACUUAAAUGAAUUGAC
rnacentral:rRNA from 1 species